rfam:Triticum aestivum genome assembly, contig: Triticum_aestivum_CS42_TGACv1_scaffold_457308_5DS
UAAAUACUCCCUCCGUUCGGAAUUACUUUUCAUAAAAAUGGAUGUAUCUACAACUAAAAUACAUCUAGAUACAUUCAUUUCUUGCAUGAGUAAUUCCGAACGGAGGGAGUAUUUC